UUCAACUUGAAGUUCUUAAUUCUGGUCGCAGUCAUCCUGUGCUCUGCUCAGGAAUGCAUGGUCUCCGGUAACCCGGUGGCUGUUGCAGAUUCAGCCGUUAUCAGUCCUGAAGGCGGUUGUUCUUGUUGCAGGUGUUGCGGCUGUGGCGGUGCCAGUGGCUGUUGUCGUUGCAGUGGCUGAGAGUUUAUUAUUUGGGCUAAGCGAAAUUGACGCACUAAGAUAUGGAUCCGACUUGCGGAGUUAUUGAUUUAAAAUUUGUGAAUUUGUUGUCAUUAAAAUGUUGUUAAAUUUGAA